GCCUGACUAGCUCAAUGGUAGAGCGCUGCUGAAAAGCAGAGAUUGCGAGUUCGAAUCUCGUUUCCGGCC
rnacentral:tRNA from 1 species